UUGCUGUGGUCAGCACAGAGCCCACUUCAGAUCCUCUGUCUGACUCUCUCUGCCCCUCCCCCACUUGCACUCUCUCAAAAAUAAAUAAAAAACAUUAAAAAAUAUAUUGUCACUGUAGUGAUGAGGUAAGACUACUGGUUAAUUUAGCAGUUCACUUUAGAAAAAAAAAUCCUUAUGGGGCGCCUGCUUGGUUCAGUCAGUAGAGCAUGCGACUCUUGAUCUCAGGGUUGUGAGUUCACGCCCCAAGUUGGAUAUGGAGAUUACUUAGAAGUAAAGUCUUUAAAAAAAAAUCCUUAACGUUUGUAUAAAUCACAAGUGGAAAAGGGUGACAGGUUCUCGAGCUGCUAGCUUUGAAGGUCCCGAAGUUGUGAUUUAGAGCACUUUGACGCAUGGCUUUGGUUCUGCUACAGAGCAGGGCAAGGAGGCUGGGGGAGAUGGUAGAGAGGGCAUCUUGAUCCAUCUCUGUUUUGGGGGGGUAUUGGGCCAAGUGUGCUGAGGGAGUGGGGGAAAUCACCUCCUCAUCUGAAACUUCUUAUUUCUGUUUCUCUCCUCAUGGUGUUACCACCUCUGGACUAGUUGGACCUUUUCUGGGGAUCCAGAUGGAGUGGCUGCCCUUGAUAUUUGUCUACAGCUUGCGGAAGUCUCAGGUCACCGGUUGCACCUUGAAAAUGUUUGCUCUCCUAAGCGUCUUCUCUCCAGCCUCCAGUUAAAUUGCUCCAGACCAAGCCUGAUCAUUUUUCUAUACACAUAGAACUCUAAUUAAUAUAAACAUAAUGGCAAAGAGAUCCGGUACUUACAAAAAGAGGAAGGAAAAUUCCUGGUCAGUAGGUAUGUGGAGCAUCAUUUGGAUUAUGGCAAAAUGGGCAUAUAGACAGAUAUAGGCAUUUCAAAUUAUAUUUUUUAAAAAAAGCAAACCCUAAAAAUUUCUUAUCCUUGAAUUACUGAGAGAUUUCAGCCUUUAUUCUUUUUCUGCUUUAAGAAAUAUUUUACAUAAAACCGCCAGAGGGCCAGUAAGGGAAAUAGUAAUUAUGUUUAAACAGCCAACACUUCACUAAUAUAAAAUAUUUGUACAGGCUCUUAAACAUGAAGUUAAGUGCCAGAGGCUAUUUUCAUUGCUUAAUGUAUUAAGUAAAUAAAAAUGUAUCUAAGAUGUGGACA
rnacentral:lncRNA from 1 species